UACAGAGGGUGCGAGCGUUAAUCGGAAUUACUGGGCGUAAAGCGCGCGUAGACGGUUUUGUAAGUCAGAUGUGAAAUCCCUGGGCUCAACCUGGGAACUGCAUUUGAGACUGCAUGGCUAGAGUAUGGAAGAGGGAAGUGGAAUUUCCGGUGUAGCGGUGAAAUGCGUAGAUAUCAGAAGGAACAUCAGUGGCGAAAGCGGCUUCCUGGUCCAGUACCGACGUUCAGGCACGAAAGCGUGGGGAGCAAACAGG
rnacentral:rRNA from 1 species